GGGGGGGGGGGGGGGGGGGGGGGGGGGGGGCGGGGCGGGCGGGGGGGCGGGGGCUGGGGGGGGUGGGCGAGGGGCGAGCGGGUGCGUGCCACGUGGGUAAGCUGCCCUGCGGUCGGGGCUAGGCCUGGGGACCUGGGUCUAAUACUGGAUAUGACCUUGCUCCUCAUGGGGUUUGGUGGACAGCUUUUCGGUGUAGGAUGAGCCCGCGGCCUAUCAGCUUGUUGGUGGGGUGAUGGCCUACCACGGCGACGACGGGUAGCCGGCCUGAGAGGGUGAUCGGCCACAUUGGGACUGAGAUACGGCCCAGACUCCUACGGGAGGCAGCAGUGGGGAAUAUUGCACAAUGGGCGGAAGCCUGAUGCAGCGACGCCGCGUGAGGGAUGACGGCCUUCGGGUUGUAAACCUCUUUCAGCAGGGACGAAGCGUAAGUGACGGUACCUGCAGAAGAAGCACCGGCUAACUACGUG
rnacentral:rRNA from 1 species